rnacentral:rRNA from 1 species
UGGGGAAUUUUGCGCAAUGGGCGAAAGCCUGACGCAGCAACGCCGCGUGGAGGAUGAAGGUGCUCUGCAUUGUAAACUCCUGUCGGCCGGGAAGAAUCGGCGGGGUGCUAAUCAGCCCCGUUUUGACUGUACCGGCAAAGGAAGCCCCGGCUAACUCCGUGCCAGCAGCCGCGGUAAUACGGAGGGGGCAAGCGUUACUCGGAAUUAUUGGGCGUAAAGGGCGCGUAGGCGGUCUUGUGCGUCGAGGGUGAAAUCCCCGGGCUUAACCCGGGAACUGCCUUCGAUACGGCGAGACUUGAGUCCGGGAGAGGGGAGCAGAAUUCCCAGUGUAGCGGUGAAAUGCGUAGAUAUUGGGAGGAAUACCAGUGGCGAAGGCGGCUCCCUGGACCGGUACUGACGCUGAGGCGCGAAAGCGUGGGUAGCAAACAGG